rnacentral:ncRNA from 1 species
CGUGUUUAGUAUAUAAAUUUUUAUUUAAAAGUUUUAUUCUAGCUUAGAAUAUUAAUUUAUAUAUUUUAUUCAUAUAAAUUUAUUUUUAAAAAUUAAGUUAAUAGUAAAUAAUUUUAAAUAUUAAAGAAAUUUAGAAUUAGAAAUGUAUAAGAGUUUAAACAAAAUUUGUGCCAGCAGUUGCGGUUAUACAGAUUAAGCAAUUAAUAGAUUUUAGUUAAUAAUAAGUUUAUUAUUUUUAAAUUAAAUUUAAUGUUUAUUAAGUAAAAUUUUAAAUAUCAAUUUUUUUUUAUUUAAUUAAAUUAUUUAUUAAAUUUUAUAAAAAACUAGGAUUAGAUACCCUAUUAUUAAAAAAUAAAAUUAUACUAAAUUAAUAACAGUUAAUUUCUCUAAAUUUAAAGAUUUUGGCGGUAUUUUAGUCUUUUUAGAGGAAUCUGUUAAUAUAAUUUGAUAUUCCACGAAUAAAUUAACUUAAUUUAUAAAUUUAUAUAUCGUCGUAGUUAAAUUUUUUAAAAGAAAUUAAAUAUUUAAAAUUUAAAAUUUUAAAUUAAAUCAGAUCAAGAUGUAGUAAAUAAUUAAGAAUUAAUGGAUUACAUUAAUAAUAGUAAUGGUUUUAUUAUUUAAAAUAGUAGAUAAAUUGGAUUUAAAAGUAAUAUUUUUUAUUUAAAAUAUGAUUAAGCUCUAAAAUAUGCACAUAUUGCCCGUCGCUUUCAUUUAAAAUGAAAUAAGUCGUAACAAAGUAGAUUUACUGGAAAGUGUAUCUGGUAUUCAAAUUAAAGCU